rnacentral:rRNA from 1 species
ACGGCCUCAGAUCAGACGUGGCGACCCGAUGAAUUUAAGCGUAUUACUAAGCGGCAGAAAAGAAAUUAACCAGGAUUCCCUCAGUAACGGCCAGUGAAGAGCCCAGCGCUGAAUCCCGGCUCAGCGGCAGGUGUGGGAAAUGUGGCAUACAGAAGACAGACUCCCCGGCAUCGCUCAGGGGGCUCAAGUCCUUCUGUUUGAGUCUCACCCCGCGGACGGUGUUAGGCCGGUAGCGGCCUCUGGCACACCGGGUUCAGGCCUUCUUGGUGUCAGGUUGCUUGGGAAUGCAUCCCAAAGCAUGUGGUAAACUCAGUCUAAAGAUAAAUACAGGCGCGAGACGGAUGGCUAACGAGUACUGUAAGGGAAAGUUGAAAAGAACUUUGAAGAAAGAGUUCAAGAGGGCGUGAAACCGUUGAGGUAAACCAGUGGUGUCUGUGCAAUCCGCCCGCAGGAUUCAACACAGUAGGCAGGUCAGUCGCCUGGAAUGGUGGAUGCCCUUGCAGGACUACGGCCCGGGCACACCCGCCCCCACAGGGCGCAUUUCCUCUGUGGCGGUGCAACGUGGCAGGCUGGGAAGGCCAUGGGGGCAGGUGACUGCUCUGGUGGCGAGUGUUACAGCCCCCUGACAGCAGAUUUUCUAUGUCCGAGGGAGAUUGACUGCUGCCGUGCCCUUCUCAGGCAAUCGCCCUGGUCCCUCUUGGGGUCGCUGGGGCGGUGAUGGGAGACAGGGAUCCCCCAGCGACUGGUGGACUGCCCUCAGUGCACCCUGACCACGUCAUUGCGCUGGGCGGGGAGGCCCACAAAGGGCGCCAGGGCUCUGAGGUGAUUUCGGUUAACCACCCAACCUGUCUUGAAACGCGGGCCAAGGAGUCACGUGUGCAAGUCUGAGGGCUGAAUAAAACACGGUGGUGCAAAGAAGGUGAGGGCCGGCGUGUGCCGAUUGCGGUGGGAUCCCGUUGUGGUGGGUGCACUGCCGACCCGUCUCGUCCGCUCUGUCAGGAGCUGGAGCAUGAGUGUGUGUGUGAUAGGAACCGAAAGAUGGUGAACUAGGACUGGUGGAGGUCCGUAGCUGUCCUGAUGUGUAAAUUGGUCGUCCGACCUCGGUAUAGGGGCGAAAGACUAAUCGAACCUCCUAGUAGCUGGUUCCCUCCGGAGUUUCCCUCAGGAUAGCUGGUGCACGGAAACACCAGUUUUAUCUGGUAAAGCAAAUGAUUAGAGGUCUUGGGGCCAAAAUUAUCUCAACCUAUUCUCAAACCUUAAAUGGGUAAGCAGCCUGGCUUGCUGGAGUGGAGCCAGGCAUUAAAUGCACUUGCCCAGUGGGCAACUUUUGUUAAGCAGAACUGGCACUGCAGGAUGAACCGAAUGCCGACGGUCAUCAGACCCCAGAAAAGGUGUUGGUUGAUAUAGAAAGCAGGACGGUUGGCCAUGGAAGAUGAAAUCCACCGAGCCCCAGGGAGGGUUCUCUUUUCUUUGUGAAGGGCAGUGCACCCUGGAAUGGGUUCGCCUUGAGAGAGGGGCUAGAGCCUUGGAAAGCGGCGCAGGUCCGCGGCAUGCAGUGAGCUCUCGCUGGUUCUUGAAGAUGGUUUAUAUCUCGUGCCUGGCCAUUCCCAUAUCCGCAGCAGGUCUCCAAGGUGAACAGCCUCUGGCAUGUUGGAACAAUGUAGGUAAGGGAAGUCGGCAAGUCAGAUCCGUAACUUCGGGAAAAGUAUUGGCUCUAAGGGCUGGGGCGCGAAGCGGGGCUGGGCGUGAGCCACGGCUGGACGCCUUGUCUUAUUCCCCGGGGACGGCGUCGACUCUGGAUGCAAGCCGGGCCCUGCCUGUGGAUCGCCCUAGCUGCGGUGGUCGCCUCUCCGUUCCUCUCCCAGGUUCGGGCUGACGUUCGCCCAACGCCUAGCAGCGGACUUAAAACUGGUGCGGACCAGGGAUAUCCGACUGUUUAAUUAAAACAAAGCAUUGUGAAAGCCUUUGAUAGGUGUUGACGCAAUAUGAUUUCUGCCCAGUGCUCUGAAUGAACAAAGUGAAGAAAUUCAAUGAAUUGCAGGUAAACGGCAAGAGUAACUAUGCCUCCCUUAAGGUAGCCAAAUGUCUUGCAUUCCAAUUAGUGACGCGCAUGAAUGAAUGGACGAGAUUCACACAGUCCCUACCUACUAUCUAACGAAACCACAGCCAAGGGAACAGGCUUGGCAGAAUCAGCGGGGAAAGAAUACACUGUUGUGCUUGCCUCUAGUCUGGCACUUUGAAGAGACAUAAGAGGUGUAGGAUAAGUGGGAGGCCCUCGGGCUGCCGGUGAAAUACCACUACUCUUAUUGUUUCUCUCUUACCAGGUGAGGGUGGGGCGAGCCCCGUGGACCCCCUCCUCAUCCUCACUUUGGCUCCCGCCGCACGUGACCCACGGGGACAGUGGCAGGUGGGGAGUUUGACUGAGUCGGUACACCUGUCAAACGAUAACGCAGGUUUCCUAAGGCGAGCUCAGGGUGGACAGAAACCUCCCGCUGAGUAGAAGGGCAAAAGCUCAUCCUGAUCUCACUUUUUUUCCAGUAUGAAUACAGACCGUGAAAGCGGGGCCUUGCGUUCCUUCUGACUUUUUUUGGAUUUCAAGCAGGAGGUGUCAGAAAAGUUACCACAGGGAUAACUGGCUUGUAGCGGCCAAGCGUUCAUAGCGACGUCGCUUUUUGAUCCUUCGAUGUCUGCUCUUCCUUUCAUCUAAGCAGAAUUCGCCAAGCGCUGGAUUGGUCACCCACUAAUAGGGAACGUGAAGUGGGUGUAGACCGCUGUGAGAUAGGUUAGUUUUACCCUACUGAUGAUAGUAAUCCUGCUCAGUACAAGAGUAACCCGCAGGUUCAGCCAUUUGGUGUAUGUCUGAGGAGCCAAUGGGGCGAAGCUACCAUCUGCGGGUGUAUGAGUGAACGCCUCUAAGUCAGAAUCUCCCCCUAACCUGUAAUGAUACUGCAGCGCUAUCGAGCCUCGGUCGGCCUAGGAUAGCCGGCCUCCGAGCCGGUGCGUAGAGCUGCUCGCCUCGGGACUUGCGUGUGGACAGAAGGGGGCCACCUCUCUCACCCAUAGUGUACCGCAUGUUUGUGGGGAACCUAGUGCUAAAUCAUUCGUAGAUGACCUGAUUCUGGUUCAGGGUUUCAUAAGUAGCAGAGCAGCUACCUCGCUGUGAUCUAUUGAAAGUCGUGCUCUGA